rnacentral:lncRNA from 1 species
CCUAAAAUUAGUUUAUGUUAAUUUUAACAUAUGAAUUAGAUCCAAAGGUACUUUCAUAUGAUGAAUACAUAUUUAAAUUAAAAAUAUUUUAAUCUAAUUUUUUCACUGUAUUUUGGAUUUAAAAAAAUUUUGAAAUCCAUAUGCACUAGCACCUGUAGAAAAUCCAAUAAGUACAAUAUCGACUGAUGAGCCAUGCUGGCCCUUCAAUGGUAGAUGAGGUGGUUAUAGAGACUAAGCAUGAGG